UUCAGGGGAAUUGAGGCAGGGUUGAGUCAUAGCAGCUUGGCGUCAUUAAUUGUCUGUUCAGAAUGUGCGUGUCUGGGGCAGUGUGUUCCUCUGCUUGCUACAGCCUGUCAGAAACACAGAAAGUGCGGUCAGGCUAUUCUGCAGCUCUCGGUCAGAGCAAAUCCCUCAGGCUAACGCAUAGUUCUGAAUCCAUUCUACACGAAGAAGAAAAACAGCCUCCCUUGCAGCAUUUCAUUUUACAGUCGCAUUGUAUCUGCUGGCAAAUCCCUUUAGAAAAAAGAAAGAUUUUUUUUUGCCCUGUGUUUCUUUUCAGUGCACUCCUUUAUCGUGUUAUGUGAUAUCUUUGUGACAGCCUGUUUGUUGCUUAACAUUUAUUGAAGAUUGGAGGAAUUCCACAAUGGGGUAAAUCAGAUUCUCUCUCACUCCCAGAGGUCCAAAACAGCAUCUGCGUCCCGGGGCUGCCCGGCUCCCCCUGGGGACCCCCCACACCCCCUCCCACAGGAACCCCAGGACCAGAGGAAGUGACAUGUAUGAUUGAUGACGGCAUAAAUUGAAAGGAAAGAUAGAGAGAAUCCUUUUAUCAGGACUGAAGCAUGACUAGAUUAAAACGCAGUUGUACAUCCCCUCUGUAUAAUUCAGUAGUCCUCCCCAGUAUCACCCCUGUGCCAGACGGUCCGAUGAGAAUUCCACCACCCCCCAAUCCCCUCCACCCCCACCGUCACCGCAGAUCUUCGCUGAUGGCUCAUGGGUCCUGCCUAAAUCGUUCUCAAGUGCUGAGGUACAAGUGUCUGGGGCUUGCU